GCCCCCUUUGUCUAAUGGUUAUGACGUCAGACUUCUACUGCCCUCUACGGGACUUGUACUCAAUUCACGGUGGGACAAUCUGGAGGUUGCGGGUUCGAGUCCCGCAGGGGGUU